AGUAGAUGUCCUAACCGACUUGCCAAAACUAUAGUUUGUUAACAAGAAAUGUGUGGAGUGGUUGAAAAACAAGUUUUAAUGACUCCAACCUAAGUGUAUGUAAACUUCUGACUUCAACUGUAUCUACAUGACAGGUCAAUUGGAGACUCCUUGCAGAGGUCCAUUAUUCUGUAUAAGCUGUAAGUUAAGUAUAGAGACAACGUAUUUACACAUUCAAAACGGUAUUCUGGUGCACAUAAUUUUCCUGUACAUACAUGACCAGGUAUUUAGUAAGAAAUUACAUGGUAAAAUGGUAAUUACACAGUAAUUAUAUUCAACCUUGUUUGGGGGGGGGGUUACCAUUAAGUACCAGGAAGUAUUAGCUAUUAUUACCACAUAGUUCCCUAGUCAUUUUCAGGUGCUCAAAGUGCUACCAGAUAUCCAAUGGCAUAUCCACCACAACGUCAGCUGCUGUUAAGCAAUAUCUGACACAAUCAGUGUCGAUACCGGUGUUAUUAUUGUCAUGAAUAUAAAUAUGUUGGUCAGUUCUGUCCUAAAGCUAAAGACAUAUUUCAUGGCGUACAUGUGCGGAUAUGUUGCACUGAUGCACUUUCUUAUUUGAGAUUUGUGCACUUCGUGUUCAGUGGAUGAGAUGUAUGACUUUUGACCUUUUGAACUGUCGACUGAUGCCAUCGGGGUAGGCCUUGGCAUGUUCCAUCAGCUUGCCGAUUAUGGCCGUCCCAUUUCCCAGUGGUAAAAUGAGGAGCUUCCUCUUCAACUCUGACUUGGAUAUUCACCUGAGGCCUUGGAUAAAGCUCUAUCAGUCCAUGCGGGCGCGUUCAAAUCCCAGAAGGGGCCAUAUAGCACUGAACCUCAUGAAACCCCUCUGCGCCGGUUAGUGUGGGGACCCAGGCCUCUCCGUCAACACCUCGUGGAGGCUGGAUGCAGUACCAGGUAGUCUGUGUAAUGUGUUCGUUCAUGGGCAUCGCCAGUAACUACUACCUAACCAACAUGUCUUGUCUGGAGGGCCUAUUCACAAUGUGUCAUAUAUAUAUAUUGUGUACAAAAUGCAAUAGACUGACUAGGUGAAUGCAGGUGAAGCGAUCAUAUCCCUUAUUGAUAUAACUUGUUAAUACAAAUCAAUUUCAAAUCAGUGAAGAUGAAGGAGACGGGUUACCGAAGGAUUUUUAAGCUUUGAGACAAUUGAGACAUGGAUUGUGUAUGUGUGCCAUUCUGAGUCCCAUCCACCAUCACCACACAUAUCUGGACACACGCUGACUCACAAACACAAACGUGGUGACGUCACUCCGAAGACGCUGUGGAAUGAUAAGCAUUUAUUUACAGAUUUGCAUAAAAAGACAGCAGGGAGAAAAGGCUACGGAACCAAAAGGUGGCAUCAAAGGUUCAAAAGUGGUUUUUGCAAUAUAAAAAUAUAUGUUUACAUCUGAAAAAUAGGAUGCUGCACCUUCAAGACAAUUGUUCCAAACGAGAUAUCAACCUGGCUGAUACAGUAAACUGUAUUUUUGUAGCCUUCUUUUUGCAAACUAUCCCCGGUAAACCAGCAUAUUGCUAGUAUGUCCACUAUUGAAGGUUUACCUUUGUAAAUCACUAUCCCUAAAAUAAAUAAGUUCAGAGAGUAGAUCGAGUCUUUUUUUCUUUUUUUUUUGCUCAGGAAAAUGGUUGUCAACGUAAAUGUUGAACUGGAACUCAAGU